rnacentral:rRNA from 1 species
AGUGAACGCUGGCGGUAGGCCUAACACAUGCAAGUCGAACGGCAGCACAGUAAGAGCUUGCUCUUACGGGUGGCGAGUGGCGGACGGGUUAGGAAUACAUCGGAAUCUACUUUUUCGUGGGGGAUAACGUAGGGAAACGUACGCUAAUACCGCAUACGACCUACGGGUGAAAGCAGGGGAUCUUCGGACCUUGCGCGAUUGAAUGAGCCGAUGUCGGAUUAGCUAGUUGGCGGGGUAAAGGCCCACCAAGGCGACGAUCCGUAGCUGGUCUGAGAGGAUGAUCAGCCACACUGGAACUGAGACACGGUCCAGACUCCUACGGGAGGCAGCAGUGGGGAAUAUUGGACAAUGGGCGCAAGCCUGAUCCAGCCAUACCGCGUGGGUGAAGAAGGCCUUCGGGUUGUAAAGCCCUUUUGUUGGGAAAGAAAAGCAGCAGGUUAAUACCCCGCUGUUCUGACGGUACCCAAAGAAUAAGCACCGGCUAACUUCGUG